UACCGCCGCCUCUCCCUGGUACAUCCAUCUUCACUUCCUCGGGGCGCUGCUCGCCGGCUCAUGACGUGCUGUGGAGUUGACGCUUGCGCACACAAGUUCCCCUGUCUGGCUCUGCCGGCUCCCGUAGUUGAGCAGAGCGAGGAGAUCGAGAGAGGAAAUACUCACUUGAUUUUGCAAAUUAUGUUGGACAUGGAGAUUGAUUUGUUAUUUUUGGUUGACCCUUGAUUCAAGGAUGACAGCGCCCAAACCUUUCCCUGAUGUUUGGGCAAAGGCGUGUAUGUCUGAUGUGCGAGCAAAGCGACGAAACAAUGGUCGCUGGUUAUGUAGGGACUCGACGAUUACAGUUUCGGGAGCACCACUAUUGCUUGCUAGCAUAUAUUUUUCUUACAUAUAUGAACUGAAGAUGCUUUAUUUGGUGUUGUUUCCCAUGGCAGUAUGAUUUCUGCUAAUGUGCAUAGUUGAGUUUCUUUUUCACUUCCGAUUUAAGAUGCAAGUAAAAGGAUGACUUCACAUUGGCUAAAUCGCUUACUGUUGUUUAUUCUCGUGCGGCAGCAGAGGAAUAGACACGGCAAGGAAGAGAGCUACACCAAUGUAGUCGGUGGAAUUAACAGGCAAAGUAAAUCCUGAAGCUUCUGGUUGUAACAAGAGGUAAUUCCCCGUUUUCCAUGCACAAUGCAUUAGUUGAUACAGUGUAUUUGUGCGUUCAAAUAGCAACAUGAAUUUGGUUUUAGUAGUUUUUUAAUUCAAGUGUCAGAAAAAUUAUGCUGCUUAUUUUCGUAUCAUUUGUGAUGGAUCGAUUUUGUGUUGGAGGCGGAGGAUUGGGUCUGCACCUCUUACCACAGUUAGUUGUCAUCAGUGGCCUGCCAACGACACUGGUGAAGGAAUGAGUGUGGCCGGAGAUCGUUUGGUGACGUACGAUGCAUAUCAUGUGACAGAGUGGAGGCGCAGACUCCCUUGCCCCAGCUUUGGCGUCACCGCCUACCAAUGCGCAGCACAAGCCUGACUGACACAGCCCAAAUCCUGAUUGUAAGUUUCUCAUCUUCUAUCUCUUGUUCAUGUGGUCACAUUGAUUCUGCCUUUUCACAAAGGGUUGAAAGAAGAUUCUUUGCUUCAGACAACUAAAUGUCCAAUGAUAUCAUCAACCUUCAGUGAGCCGCGGCUCAGAACUCCAUCACCUCAAACGGCUUAGGAUAGAUUGAUGUUUCAUUCCACUUGCUUUCUGAUCCAUGUUUCAGUUGGUCCCGGCCCAGCAUCUAUCUUCACUUUCAGUUAAUGAACUAUAGACUAUGAAACUGAGGAAGACCCAAGGAUUUUGAUAGGCAGAUCUCAAGAGGGAAGUUGGACUGUGCUUUGAUAGAGCUAGACAAACUGAUAAAGAUUAUUUGAAAGGCUCUUUGCAAGCAUAAAAUUCUGAUGAAAACCAUAUUCUCUGCCAGCCAUAGAUUCAGAACCAUGGCCUUUUGCUGCUAAGCAGCGGCACCAUCACGGAGCAUGACGAGGUGUUGCAGUGAAGCUAUAGAGCGCGUUGUUCUAGCUCCCAAAUUCACAUGGUGGAUUCUAGGUUACUUGAGCUAUACAAGGCAGCCAUGUGACAACAGAGUAAACUGGAGUGAAAUAAAGUGAUGGAGAGCAAGAGUGUAGGGCAGUCAUGUGGCGGUGAUACACAAGACGAAAGUUCUACAUAAAGACUAACAGAAACAUGGGAAAAUCACAAGAAUGUUCCAUUCAAUACAAACAUAUACAACUUUUUUGUAUCGUAAUUUGGUUGUUUUGUACCGUAAUUUUGUUGAGUUUAGUUCUGGAGAAUGAGUAUGUUCUGUAGUUUUGUACCAUAAUUUGGUUGAGUUUAGUUCUGGAGAAUGAGUAUGUUCGUUCUGUAGUUAGCUUUUAGCAGUAUGUAGAGUAUGAAAGGACAUAUUUGCGGGAAAUUGGGAUAAACAAUAUGCGUGUGAACUAACU